AGCAUUGCUAGGCAGUUCUGGCAAUGAUCAGGAGGCUAUGCCUGGAAUGUCCUCUGAGCAGAUGCUGGUAGUCACAUUCGUGUUAUGGGAAACACGAGAAAGGAAUGGGUCACUCAUGCUGUCCCAAACUUGCCUGGCAGCGCGGCCAACAAUGAGCCUCUGGGUAAUCAAUCAAAGGUGAUAAUACAAAUCGGUGACCUUUAUGUGUUUGUUUCAAGUCUCAAGAUAAAUAAGAAAAGAAGGGGAGAAGAUACGGAGGGAGGAAGAUAUCCUCACGAGACUUCCUUUUUCACGAGGCACUGACAAGUCUCUGCACUUCUCUCAUAACUGUACUGUGGACUUCUGUAGUAGCACUUGAAUGGUCCCGUGACACCUCAGAGCCCAAGGGUAGGACAGUGCCUUUAAAACACAGUGCAGAGAAGCCCAGAAAGCUCCCUUGAAAAGUGAAGACAUCGUUUGCCACGAGGAGAUAAUACCCAGCCACGUGAUCCUUUCUUUCUUGUAUUACUAUCAUGCCUUGUAUGUCUUAAUCUUAUGUUAAGGAAAAAAAAAAAAAAAAACAGGAGUCAAUCAUAAGUGAGGCUGAGCCCAAAUGCAAAAUAUCUUGUCUCAAUGAGAAAUACUACACACAAAGUAAAUACUUCAUUGUUCUUAGAAAUGCUUCCUGGUAAUAAUCUCAAGUGUUUGCUAGAGGGAAAAUGAUAAUUUCUGGUUGCAUCCUUUGUUUACAUGUGGCCCACAUAUAAAAAUCAAAUAAAUUCAUGAUGUUCGCAACCAGUACAAAAGAAGAAACAAACAAACAAACAAACAAACAAACAAACAAACAAACAAAAAAACCAAUCAGUGACCCGUGGCAGCACUACCUGCCUGCUAACUUGAAUUGGUUUUUGGAUUUGAAACUAAGAUACAGAGAAAUCAUAUUUGUGUUCAUUGCUUUUUUGUUAAUGACAAAAGAUUAAUAAAGCAGGGUGCACAUAAGACAGACACAAGAAAGCUGCCACAUCCUAGAGCAACUAUAACAUGGCAGAGCAGGAGGAGACACUACAGCCGGCGGCCCAUUCCCGCCCGCUGUCUGUUUUUAUAAAUAAAGUUUCAUGAG
rnacentral:lncRNA from 1 species